UACAGAGGUCCCGAGCGUUGUUCGGAUUCACUGGGCGUAAAGGGUGCGUAGGUGGCUGGGAAAGUUUGAUGUGAAAGCUCAGGGCUUAACCCUGAAAUGGCAUUGAAUACUACUUGGCUGGAGGUUUGGAGGGGGGACUGGAAUUCUUGGUGUAGCAGUGAAAUGCGUAGAUAUCAAGAGGAACACCAGUGGCGAAGGCGAGUCCCUGGACAACACCUGACACUGAGGCACGAAAGCCGGGGGAGCAAACAGG
rnacentral:rRNA from 1 species